UAUCACACUAUUUUUAUCUAUGUGACUGAUUGGACGGAACUUGGUGUCUCCCUGCUCCCCUCUCAGAAGGACAAAAAAAUCCCAGACCUUCUUCCAAAAUCCAAUUCCAUUGCAGAAAACUGGCACAUGACCCAUAUUUAGUUCAGUGUUCCCUCACUUUCUCCCUUCAAAAGUUAAAAGAAACAAAAACCAAAAAACAGAAGGAAAAAAAAAAAGCCAGCUACCGAGACACCAGAGGUAUCAACAGUGUAAUAGAUCAAGAGAGAAUCCUGACGGGCCGAGGUUCCUUUGGAUUCUGUGAACCUAUGCUUGUUGCUAUCCUUCCACACUUGAACCCUACUCCCCUUAGGGCUUUUCCUCCUCAUUGCCUAGCAUUUCCCAUCCCUUAGAGAAUAAUAAGGCCAUGGGAGCAAGCUAACAAGCUCCUAAGAAACCCAUAUCUCCUUCCUGUCUGCCUUGAAAACCCGCCAUAAAUUCUCUUAAAAACGACCAAUAAUACCACCACCCACACACAAAAAAAAAGAAGAGACUCGCUUG
rnacentral:lncRNA from 1 species